rnacentral:rRNA from 1 species
GUGUCAGCCGCCGCGGUAAUACGAAGGGGGCUAGCGUUGCUCGGAAUCGCUGGGCGUAAAGCGCACGUAGGCGGCUUUCUAAGUCAGGGGUGAAAUCCUGGAGCUCAACUCCAGAACUGCCUUUGAUACUGGAGAGCUUGAGUUCGGGAGAGGUGAGUGGAACUGCGAGUGUAGAGGUGAAAUUCGUAGAUAUUCGCAAGAACACCAGUGGCGAAGGCGGCUCACUGGCCCGAUACUGACGCUGAGGUGCGAAAGCGUGGGGAGCAAA